CCCCCUGGUACCUCGGAUUGAGCUCCACUCCCAGGAACGCGCGCUGACCCCGCCGACCUCCGCGAUCCCCUGGCCCAGAUCUACCCCCUCAGGUCCCCAGGCUCGUCCUGCCUGCACGGCUUGGCUCGUGGGUCCCCUCUUCCUUCCCCACCCUACCCCGCACACUCACGGGCUCUCCCAGGGCAGCGCCCAGGCCCGCGUGCCCAGUGUCUCAGACUGGUUCUGGCCUGGCUGACCUCCCCGACCAGAGGAAGGGCUGGGCCGCUGGCGUUGGGGUACCGACCCCGGCCUCCCCACAACACAGUUCCUGGAAAACUUAAAAAGCGCUUUAGUGAGAUGAGAUGACAGUUCGGUGGAAACCCACAUGCCACAGGCCCGGGCUUCAGAGUGUGUUUCUGGGCGCUCUCUUCAGUUGAGGGGUCGUUUUUGUCCCUUUCUUCCGAAACUUUCCUGUCUUUGAAUGAGCCUGCUCCUGAAACAGGUUCUAACUUUGAGCAAGUUUCAUGGGGCGAAAGUUGGAAACCAUCUAGAGGCUCCUGUUGGAGGGACUAUUAAGGACAUACGGUCACUAACCACGGGGUGGCCAGCGGGUGCCCAAAUGUGACCCCCAACGUGGGGACCUGCAUCUGUAUUGGGAGCAGGUAUGGGAUCCCAAGCCUUACUUGGCUUUUCUGACUUCUGCAGUGACCUUGCUUUGCUUUCAGUAAGGAUGGAGCAGAGCUGGGGGAGGAGGCGUAAACGGCAACAGAAAAGAACCCCAGAAUUUUCAGGUUCUGCUGUGGCUUGUGAGGGUACAAAGGCCAAAUGCAAAGCGGACAGCAAGGACUCUGCUGACCAGGCUGCGGUGGGGCGGGGAACCCCCUGGGCCCC
ensembl:lncRNA